UUGCAAUGGAGGCAGGAAGGCCGGGGAAUACGCGGACGUACGCCCGAUAAAUCAUAGACUUAUUAUUAGUUUGUAGCUUUAGCUAUUAUCAAAGCGAAGUCGAAGAGUUAUUACUUCAAUGAAAUGUAUCCUUUUACAAUAUUACUCUAAAAUGUCUUUCGGGAAAGAAAAUAAAAGAAGGAAAUGGAAAAAUACUAUGUUUGAACGUUUUUCGUGCCAAAUAGGAAACAUUCUGGUAUAUUUACUGAACUGUCAUCUAUUAUCUCUUAGAUUCAUUUGCAACGUAAAAAAAAAAAGACAAGACUUUCGAGUAGCUCGAUGGGUGAACAAGAAGCGGUGAAGAGGAAUCCGGAUGUUGGUCAAAUUCAGUGAGUCAUGAUGAGAAAUGAAUGAUCAAUAUUAUCGAAAUAUGUACAUUACGCGAUAAAAAUAUAUCGCGAAAAAAUAAUAAACAAAAAUAAAAAAAAUAUCGAAAUACGAUUCAUCGCCCGGAUACUUGUCGUAAGAAAGUUAAAAUAUAUAUUUCUAUAUAUACAAUUUUAAAUAUGGAUUAUCUUGAAUAUAUCAUUAGUACCUGAUUAUAUUCUAUUCACGUUUUGCGACGUCAUUAAUUGUAUAUUUCGUACCGCAAUGUUGCAAUAUGACGUCAUUUAAAAUUAAAUAUUCCUGGAAGUUUUUACGAAAUGUACAAUUUACGUGCACUUAAAAGAUUUCACUCAUUGCCUCGGAAAUUUUCAGGAAUUCUAUAAAGAAUUCAGUCAGUUUUCUCUUAAUUGAGAAACGUUAUACUUGCUUAAUUAAUGCCGGUUGGAAAUAGCUUAAUUGGCAGAUAAAAAAAUCUACAUUCUAUUUAUAUAGGCAAGCAAAUUAGAGCUUUUCUUGACACGUAAUGAUUUAGUUUCACCAAAAAAAAAAUUAUCAAAAAGUUUAUACCUAAAUCAUACUUUAUAUUUAAUUUUCACAAAAAAUAUUAAAAGAAAAGAAGGACAAUUUUGUUAUAUUCUUUUAAUUUUCGGACGAUAAUAAAUUAAAUUAUAGUUAUAUACUGAUGGACAUAUCGGUCUUUCUUUGAAAUAUUUUAUUAUUUACUUCACACACACACACACACACACAUAACUCACUGAAUUAUAUCUCCAAAUGCCUCUUAACGUUAAUGAUUUUUAAUUGAUGUUUAACAUUGAUUCGCAAUGCUAUCUUAAUAAACUUCUACUAGUUUUAGAUAGCAACUGUAAAAUAUAAAAAAAACAUUAAAAAUAUCUUCGGCUUUUGAAAUAUUUACCGGAAAACAAUCUGAUCUUUCUAAUAUAAUUUUUUCCUACGCGUGCUGUAUUUAAAAUAAAAUAAGCAUAUGUAAUAUCAAUAAAUAAAUUCGUAUAUAUUA